AUACGGAGGGUGCAAACGUUAAUCGGAAUUACUGGGCGUAAAGCGCGCGUAGGUGGUUUAGUAAGUCGGAUGUGAAAGCCCUGGGCUCAACCUGGGAAUUGCAUUCGAUACUGCUUGACUAGAGUAUGGUAGAGGGAAGUGGAAUUUCCGGUGUAGCGGUGAAAUGCGUAGAUAUCGGAAGGAACACCAGUGGCGAAGGCGACUUUCUGGGCCAAUACUGACGCUGAGGUACGAAAGCGUGGGGAGCAAACAGGAUUAGAUACCCCAGUAGUCC
rnacentral:rRNA from 1 species